CCUGGGGGAGAGGGAAGGUGAGCUGAUGAGCAGGGAAAGGCUCCCUGGGGUGCUGCUGGUGCAGAGGAGGUGGAAGCAUUCUGAGAAAAAGAAACGUCAGAUAGGGGCUUCCGGUGCGGCUGGCAGCGCCGGAGGCGGGAUGUGGCAACCUGAAGCUAAGAUGAUCAGGCUCUCUGCAAGUCAGGAUUAGAUACCCCAGACCUUUGAGCAGCUGAGGCCCUUGUUGUAGCAGGGUCAAGAUGCACGACGUCUUCAGGGUGCGGAGCUGCAACCUGGGGAUGAAUUCAGAGGCGGUGUGAGCAGCAGGGGAGCCUCCGGGUCGGUGCUCACCUCAUCCCUUCUCGCCGCUCUCGCCCCUCUCCUUGGAAGGUGCGGCCGACAGGACGAUGAUGACUUAUGCACCCAGUUUCCUGCUCUGAGGUAAACACAUAUCCACACAUGUAUGCAGACAUAGACAGUUGGAGCAGGCCACCGAGAGGACCAUAGGCCUGGUCACGGUGAGUGAGAGCUCUGCAGGGGUCAGGAGAGACCUGCCCAGGACGCCAGCCCCAGAUCUCCCGAUCUGUGAACCCCUGGCAGAUAAUGAAAGAUUUUUGUUGGCUUUAGCUGCUUCCU